rnacentral:rRNA from 1 species
AUUGAACGCUGGCGGCAUGCCUUACACAUGCAAGUCGAACGGCAGCACGGGUGCUUGCACCUGGUGGCGAGUGGCGAACGGGUGAGUAAUACAUCGGAACAUGUCCUGUAGUGGGGGAUAGCCCGGCGAAAGCCGGAUUAAUACCGCAUACGAUCUACGGAUGAAAGCGGGGGGCCUUCGGGCCUCGCGCUAUAGGGUUGGCCGAUGGCUGAUUAGCUAGUUGGUGGGGUAAAGGCCUACCAAGGCGACGAUCAGUAGCUGGUCUGAGAGGACGACCAGCGACACUGGGACUGAGACACGGCCCAUGCUCCUACGGGAGGCAGCAGUGGGGUAUUGUGGACAAUGGGCGAAAGCCUGGUCCAGCAAUGCCGCGUGUGUGAAGAAGGCCUUCGGGUUGUGAAGCACUUUUGUCCGGAAAGAAAUCCUUGGCCCUAAUACGGUCGGGGGAUGACGGUAACGGAAGAAUAAGCACCGGCUAACUACGUG